AUCCAUGAGGAGGGCACUUAAUCAGCAGAUCCUUAAAACGCUCCCAACUUUCAAAAAAAUUUCUCGUCUUCCUCCUGAGUGAAAGAGCUAAUCUCCUUUCGGCU